rnacentral:tRNA from 1 species
GCUGCGGUAGCUCAGUGGUAGAGCACACCCUUGGUAAGGGAGAGGUCGAGAGUUCAAUCCUCUCUCGCAGCACCA